AGGAGACGCCUCCUGCUAUGUAUAGCGUUGUGUGAGCGCUGGUUCUGUGUGAGGGUUGACAUAUAACUCACGACAGUGGCAGACGCUCUGGCAGUAGUUAUACGGACUCUGGUAGGGAGAUUCUGCAUGUCAGCGAAGGAGUUUAACUCUAUAUCGUCUGUUGGUACUAGAACUCACGGUUUAACAGAAAUCCCUGAUGUAUUGCUGGUAGAGGCUGGACACGCCGCGAGUGGACGUUUCCAUAGAAGAUACAUAUACCUGUAUGCUAUUUCUUUUACGCUGGUAAACGUAUCUGUAGUAAUUUCACUGGACUGGAAGUGUGUCGGAACGUACUGAUAGUAAAAACCUCUAGGCUGAUCACGCGCUGUUACGCUAGCCUUGUCACCGGACGUAUGUAUAGUAAAUCCCUAUAUGAUGCGCAUCAGGUGUUAUGGUAAAUUUCUAGAGGAUGUACAUACGAGUAAACAUUAUCUAUACAAGUGAACGUGUCUAUAGUAAACAUAUCUAGACUGGAUAAGCCAGUGUUCCGGAUACACGGAGGAAAUCGGGAUAAUUAUUUAUAUUUGAUCUGUUGCCGAAGGACGACGCAUGAGGUAACGUAGUCCACAACAGAAUGACAGAUCGCAACCAGAAAUAUCGCUUACAUUACUUGCUGCCCAUUGACUCGUGUUAAGAACGGAUGCAGAUGGCCAUUGUGAAAGGGAUGUGUAGUCAAAUAUUAAUCCCGACGUGACCUUGAAACCAAGGUGACGAUGAAGGUCAAACGGGAUACGUUCGAUACGGGUCAGCCGAUCUUCCAGCACCCGGAUGAUUACAGCGAAGAUCGGUAUAUGAUUCACGAAAUGAAAAUUUUCAUUAUUUUGGUGAUAGGUUUUGUUGUGAUACUGGCAUGUGUCCUCUACAUUAUAGUGCAGUGUAAACGGAAAGCCGGAUAUGCGGUCAAAUUCUGCCGGAACCGGAAGGAGUCAAGUGAUGUUAAAAAGCUUUUGGAUAACCAAGAGAGUGUUGAAAAUCUUCUUCAUGUGACGUCACCACAUCUCUCACGGAACCAAAUAAACAAAGAGUUCUACGUGUGACUAUGAUUAUUUGUGAUAUCGUGACGUCACUCACAAUGCAUAUGAAUAUGAAAGGGCGUGCCGAUAUUUUGUCAAACGAGGCAAUUAAAUGUUUGCAAGAGUGAUAAUAUCAGACGUGCACAUUGUGCAGAAACUACAAUAUGAUAAUUUGCCUCGUGGUUGUGAAUGGAAGUAAACGCCCCAAAGGUAAUAUCACACUAUGCACAAAAGGCCUGUAUAUUACACGGCCUGACGUCAGUCCGGUCGGGUAGUCUACUCUCUAUGCUCUAAGAUUGUCACCAAAUUCCCAAGUGCGUCUGAACCAUUUAUUGAAUAGAACAUCUAUGAAGUGUUUCAGAUGUAGGAUGUGGCAAGGAAGAAGUUGUAUCGCAUCAGUACGAAUACGUUAUAUUGCUGAAUGUUUAAUUAGACUGACUAAGCCUGAUCUAGAGUUGGGGCUUUGAAUAUUCAGGUAAGGAGCUAACAAUCGUGUACUGUAUGCUCACUUGCCGACGGUGUGUCCGUCUGUCCGGCAGGGAGGUCAUGUUGCUGCUGAGAAAAAGUGAUUUACAGCCUGCACCUACAUUUGGUGAGGGACAUUGACUAUUUAUCUUACGGAUAUUCUUUUAAUUUUUAUACUCAAGUUGAUUGUUUGUAAUCAUAGAUCUUUUGAACCUUUUUUACAUGUGUUCGAGCACGGAGAACCAAUCAGAUCCCUUAUCAUUGUCACGUGAGUGUGUGUUUUCAUACCUUUUUAUCAUAUUACUUUUAUGUAUUUUUCCUAUACAAUUCAAAAGAACUUAAAAUGUUAAUGCAAAAAAUGAAAGUUUGUGAAUUUUUUCUACAAUCAUAA